rnacentral:misc_RNA from 1 species
GAUGAAGAACGCAGCGAAAUGCGAUAAGUAAUGCGAAUUGCAGAAUUCAGUGAGUCAUCGAAUCUUUGAACGCAUAUUGCGCCCUUUGGUAUUCCGAAGGGCAUGCCUGUUCGAGCGUCAUUACAACCCUCAGGCCCCCGGGCCUGGCGUUGGGGAUCGGCGGAGCCCCCCGUGGGCACACGCCGUCCCCCAAAUGCAGUGGCGGUCCCGCCGCAGCUUCCAUCGCGUAGUAGCUAACACCUCGCGACUGGAGAGCGGCGCGGCCACGCCGUAAAACACCCAACUCUUCUGAAGUUGACCUCGAAUCAGGUAGGAAUACCCGCUGAACUUAAGCAUAUCAAUAAGCGGAGGA